rnacentral:rRNA from 1 species
UACAGAGGUCUCAAGCGUUGUUCGGAUUCAUUGGGCGUAAAGGGUGCGUAGGCGGCGCGGUAAGUCGGGUGUGAAAUCUCGGGGCUUAACUCCGAAACUGCAUUCGAUACUGCCGUGCUUGAGGACUGGAGAGGAGACUGGAAUUUACGGUGUAGCGGUGAAAUGCGUAGAUAUCCGGAGGAACACCGGUGGCGAAGGCGGCUUCCUGGACCGAUUACUGACGCUGAGGCGCGAAAGCUAGGGGAGCAAACGGG